rnacentral:rRNA from 1 species
UACGGAGGGUGCAAGCGUUAUCCGGAUUUACUGGGCGUAAAGGGCGCGUAGGCGGCGCAACAAGUCACUUGUGAAAUCUCCGGGCUUAACCCGGAGCGGCCAAGUGAUACUGUCGUGCUAGAGUGCGGAAGGGGCUACUGGGAAUUCUCGGUGUAGCGGUGAAAUGCGUAGAUAUCGAGAGGAACACCUGCGGCGAAGGCGGGUAGCUGGGCCGACACUGACGCUGAAGCGCGAAAGCCAGGGAGCGAACGGG